UACGUAGGGGGCAAGCGUUGUUCGGAAUUACUGGGCGUAAAGGGCUCGUAGGCGGCCAACUAAGUCAUACGUGAAAUCCCUCGGCUUAACCGGGGAACUGCGUCUGAUACUGGAUGGCUUGAGUUCGGGAGAGGGAUGCGGAAUUCCAGGUGUAGCGGUGAAAUGCGUAGAUAUCUGGAGGAACACCGGUGGCGAAGGCGGCGUCCUGGACCAAUACUGACACUGAAACGCGAAAGCCAGGGGAGCAAACGGG
rnacentral:rRNA from 1 species